CCUACGGGGGGCAGCAGUGGGGAAUAUUGGGCAAUGGGCGCAAGCCUGACCCAGCAACGCCGCGUGAAGGAAGAAGGCCCUCGGGUUGUAAACUUCUUUUAACAGGGACGAAGAAAGUGACGGUACCUGUUGAAUAAGCCACGGCUAACUACGUGCCAGCAGCCGCGGUAAUCCGUAGGUGGCAAGCGUUAUCCGGAUUUAAUGGGUGUAAAGGGGGCUUAGGCGGGAGGGGAAGUCAGACGUGAAAUUCCAGGGCUCAAACCUGGAACUGGGUUUGAAACUGUUCUUCUUGAGGGAUGGGGAGGCAGGCGGAAUUCCGGGUGUAGCGGUGAAAUGCGUAGAUAUACGGAGGAACACCAGUGGCGAAGGCGGCCUGCUGGACAUUAACUGACGCUGAGGCGCGAAAGCGUGGGGAGCAAACAGGAUUAGAUACCCUAGUAGUC
rnacentral:rRNA from 1 species